rnacentral:rRNA from 1 species
UACGUAGGGACCAAGCGUUGUUCGGAUUUACUGGGCGUAAAGGGCGCGUAGGCGGCAAUUCAAGUCAACUGUGAAAUCUCCGGGCUUAACUCGGAACUGUCAGUUGAUACUGUAUUGCUAGAGUGCGGAAGGGGCAAUCGGAAUUCUUGGUGUAGCGGUGAAAUGCGUAGAUAUCAAGAGGAACACCUGAGGUGAAGACGGGUUGCUGGGCCGACACUGACGCUGAGUGCGCGAAAGCCAGGGGAGCAAACGGG